CAUAGGGCGAUGCACAAUUGGUCCAGCGUUGGCCGGGUUAGGGUUUGGCCGGGUUAGGCAGUCAUUGUAAUUAAGAAUUUGUUCUUAACUGAUUUGCCUAGUUAAAUAAAGGUUAAAAAUACAAAUGUAUGUUAUGUCUUCUUCCCCCAUUGCAAGAAUACUAGAGGGUGCAUGGUCCUGAGAGUGCUUCUCCCACCACCAAUAUACCGAAUGCAGGUACUAAAAAAACAUGAUCCUGAGAGGGUUUUUCACACCACCAGUGUAAUGAGUUGGAAAGAAGACUGCCCACCAAAGCAUUGAUGAGGCCUGAAAGUCAUAAUGCUGGAACCAAUAUGGCUGAAUAUCUCUACCAGGUGACCAAAAAAACAAGAGACCCCAAUCCUUAGUUCGGACUCUCUGGAAUAUUGUAUCUACUCCCUGGCAUUCACCAUCAUGAAUGGACAGGCUCUGGAGCAGAAGACAUUAUGUUAAGUUGUUGUUUUACACAGAUUCCUAUUGGAAAUUGAUACCUGGUCGGGGUUGUGGGUGUAGAGGGUAAAGUGUUUCCUUCAGCCCAUUUCCUCAGCUUUAAUUGGUAGGG